rnacentral:lncRNA from 1 species
AUUUCCACUUUUUAAAUUUUUGGUGUUAGCAUAGCCGGCCACGUGUUACUUAGACUGAAGUGUAAAUUGCAUUCAUAUUAUAAUGAAGAUAAUACAGUGAAAUUAAUCCUGUUUUUUACUUAUUUGUGCUUCAUUGAUCAAAACUUUAUAACUUAAUUUAAUUUGAAUAUAUGUAUUCAAAUGCCACGAAAAAAAUCUAACCUCAACAACGCGAGCACCAGAGAGGCACGACGCAAACGUAUUAAAAGAGCCCAUCAGUUGGCAGAACAAAUUGAAUCAAGAAAUCCAGCUCAAAGAAUCAGGACAGCAGAAGGUCAUGCACAAGAAUCUCAAGAACAGUGUAACGAACGUCUUCAAGAGAAUAUCAUAAGAACAAGAGCAGCAGGAGAACGAGACAUAGCCACAGUAGGAGCACAGGAACAAUAAUAUACUUAUAUUUUCCUCGGUAAUUUG